rnacentral:rRNA from 1 species
UACGAAGGGGGCUAGCGUUGCUCGGAAUUACUGGGCGUAAAGGGCGCGUAGGCGGAUAGUUUAGUUGGGGGUGAAAGCCCGGGGCUCAACCUCGGAAUUGCCUUCAAUACUGGCUAUCUUGAGUAUGAGAGAGGUGUGUGGAACUCCGAGUGUAGAGGUGAAAUUCGUAGAUAUUCGGAAGAACACCAGUGGCGAAGGCGACACACUGGCUCAUUACUGACGCUGAGGCGCGAAAGCGUGGGGAGCAAACAGG